rnacentral:misc_RNA from 1 species
GAUGAAGAACGUAGCAAAAUGCGAUACUUGGUGUGAAUUGCAGAAUCCCGUGAACCAUCGAGUUUUUGAACGCAAGUUGCGCCCGAAGCCUUUUGGCCGAGGGCACGUCUGCCUGGGCGUCACGCAUCGCGUCGCCCCCCCACAAUUCUCCGUAAAGGGAACUUGUGUUUUGGGGGCGGAUAUUGGUCUCCCGUGCUCAUGGCGUGGUUGGCCGAAAUAGGAGUCCUUUCGAUGGACGCACGAACUAGUGGUGGUCGUAAAAACCCUCGUCUUUUGUUUCGUGCUGUUGCUCGCAAGGUAAACUCUUUAAAAGCCCCAAUGUGUCGUCUCUUGACGACGCUUCGACCGCGACCCCAGGUCAGGCGGGACUACCCGCUGAGUUUAAGCAUAUCAAUAAGCGGAGGA